UAUCUAUCUAACUAUCUAUCUAUUGGGACAUUGAUGUCUUACACACUGAAGGUCGUGCCUACCACGGACCAGAGCACUGAGACAAGACGAUCCCCGUCAACAGCUAGAGAAGCAAGUCAGCAGAAGACUUGCGCAAAGGACCCGAGACCACAUGCCCCGAGGACAGCCAUGCCCCACCCCAAGGGAGAACAGCAGAGAGCCGUGCCGGGAAGCCCCCCCGCUGCCAGAGAGCGAGACCGCGGGGAACAAGGGAUGACAGCCCCCCCAGCCCAGCCAGAGGACUCCCUGGAAGAAGAGAUAUUGUAUCUCAAUGGGACCCCCUGGUAAAAUGAAGGAUACAUAAAAAGGCAUUGGGCUUUCAAUCAUUACUGUCAUGAUGGCAUCAUGGCAGCCCUCCUCUUCCCCUUUUGUGUCAUUGUUUGUUUUCCCCUGUGUGUAAUCCUGCAUGUUUCUCCCCUGCUCUGUGUCUGUGUCUUUCUGUGUGUUGGUGGGACCCCGGACACGACACCCCCACCCCCGUGCACCUUGCACUGUACAUAAUAUUGAACAUUAAAUAACGUUAUCGUUGAUUCUGUGUGGUGUUUUGCAUUUGGGUCCAGUUCCACUGUGUAUUGUUCGUGACAGAACGAUCUGGCCUCAACAUGGACCCAGCAGACACGGAAGCUAACUUGCCAGGUUUUUCUGUCCGCCAAGCAGUGUCCUCCGUAGGAGGACUGCUCGGGCAACAUUCUCAGACGCUCCAAGACAUCAUGGAGAUGCUUCACCAACUCUCUAUCAGCGUUUCCCGUAUGGAAGGCAAGCAGACUCAUCCUCCUCCUGCUCUGUCCGUCUCUUCACCUCCACCAGCGUUAGCCGUGAGUAAUCACCAGCCCCGUGAACCCUUCGUGCCGGUGCCAGAGAGAUACGAUGGUAGCCUGGGAGAAUGUAAGACAUUUUUAUUCCAAGUUCACUCGUGUUUGGGCAGCAGCCUUAUGCCACCAAGAUUGCUUAUGUGUUGGGAUUACUCACGGGCAGAGCCAGGAGUUAGGGAGUAGCUUUCUGGAACAGCCUGUUAACAGUCAACUUAACCUACCAACAGUUCACCGCUGAAAUUACCUCUGUGUUCGACCACCCCAUUACUAGCAGCGACACCAGCAAUCGGCUGCUUAGCUUGCGUCAGGGCUCUGCAAGCACCGCGGAUUAUUGAGUGGAAUUCCGCACACUGGCUGCUGAAGUUGGGUGGGACGACAUGGCUCUACAGAGCAUAUUUUUGAAAGGGUUAAAUGAGCAGAUUAAGGACAGUUUGGUGGGAAGGUCCAAAGACGUCUUAAUCAGUCUGUUUCUUCCGUUGUCAAUCACUCCCCUGUCACUUCCAAGGAGGAACCGAUGCAAUUAGGCCGUAGUCGCCUUACCCCUGAGGAACGGAACGGGCGGUUCAGAGAAAGGCUCUGCCUCUAUUGUGGGGAACCCAACCACCAACUGGUCUCCUGUCCCCACCGUUUAAACGCCCAGCCUCACCAGUCUCAGACGGGGUUCUGGUGAGUCGUUCUGUGGUUCCAGCUAGUCCCCGUAAGAUAAUUAAUUUUGAUGCCAUUUUGAACUUUAAUGGUAGAGAUAUGGCCAUCAAGGCCUCAGUCGAUUCAGGGUCCGAUUCCAACAUCAUGGACACUGAACUGGUUAGGCAAAAAAAACAGAUCUCUACCAUCCCCCUUGACACACCCUAGUGGUCAAAGCACUUAAUGGCAAUAUACUAACUCACGUUUCCCAUGAGACAGUUCAGAUUUCCCUAUCGUUAGCUGGUAACCACCACAAGUUACUAGGUUUACAUAUCAUGCCCUCUGCUAAUGCCCAAGUGGUACUCAGUCUUCAUUGGCUCCUCUGUCACAAUCCGGUAAUUGAUUGGGCAGCAGGGAAGGUGGAGCAGUUAUUGCCAUUCCUCGUGUCUCAGAUCAGCUCAGACUAGAAGCACCAGUGUUCCCAGUUCUCUCCCACCAGAACCCCCAGACUUGUCCCCUGUGCCUCCUGUUUACCAUGACCUGGCUGAGGUGUUCAGUAAGGAAAAGGCCCUAUCCUUACCACCUCAUCGACCCUAUGACUGCAAAAUAGACCUGUUGCCUGGAGCUCCAUUACCAACCAGCAGACUCUACAAUC